CCUACGGGUGGCAGCAGUGAGGAAUAUUGGUCAAUGGACGAGAGUCUGAACCAGCCAAGUAGUGUGAAGGAUGACUGCCCUAUGGGUUGUAAACUUCUUUUAUAUGGGAAUAAAACGUUCCACGUGUGGGAUUUUGUAUGUACCAUAUGAAUAAGGAUCGGCUAACUCCGUGCCAGCAGCCGCGGUAAUACGGAGGAUCCGAGCGUUAUCCGGAUUUAUUGGGUUUAAAGGGAGCGUAUGUGGAUUGUUAAGUCAGUUGUGAAAGUUUGCGGCUCAACCGUAAAAUUGCAGUUGAAACUGGCAGUCUUGAGUACAGUAGAGGUGGGCGGAAUUCGUGGUGUAGCGGUGAAAUGCUUAGAUAUCACGAAGAACUCCGAUUGCGAAGGCAGUUCACUGGACUGCAACUGACACUGAGGCUCGAAAGUGUGGGUAUCAAACAGGAUUAGAUACCCCAGUAGUC
rnacentral:rRNA from 1 species